rnacentral:sRNA from 1 species
AUCAUUUGCUAAUACACAAUCAUAUUUACUUAAAAAAAAAAAAAGGGACAUAACCUCCUUGACCCUUUAUAUAAGACCCACUCAUCAUUCAUACUUUUGCACAUUGCCUACUAUAUCAAUCUUCUUCUUCUUCUUUAAUUUGCUGCUUUUAUAUAACCAAGUCUUUGCUUUUAGAGGUCAGCUAUGGUGUCUACAGAAGAAGACGAAGAUCGGAGAAAAAGGAUGGAAGUUGUUUCAUUUAUUAUGAAACAAUGAUGACAGCAUUUUGUGGAUGGUUUAGAGAAAGAUGAGCUUUGCAAUAGUUUACGCUCUUUCAUAGAAAUGUAAGUCUGGGGAGAGCGAGAUUAUUGCAUUGCUUGCUGCUGGGGAAUCGAAGGUUACUGGUCCGAUUUUUUUUCCUUACCCGAAAAAAAUCAAUCUUAUAUCUCUUAGUUGUUUGUUUGUGUUCAUUAGUCUACGAUUAUUUUCAUAUUCAUGUUUAUGAAAUGAAGAGUGUCCUUGUGGUGAUGGUAUUAUCAACUACUAUAUAACAAAAGUUACAUUUCAAAUAAAG